AGUGAACGCUGGCGGUAGGCCUAACACAUGCAAGUCGAACGGCAGCACAGUAAGAGCUUGCUCUUACGGGUGGCGAGUGGCGGACGGGUGAGGAAUACAUCGGAAUCUACUUUUUCGUGGGGGAUAACGUAGGGAAACUUACGCUAAUACCGCAUACGACCUACGGGUGAAAGCAGGGGAUCUUCGGACCUUGCGCGAUUGAAUGAGCCGAUGUCGGAUUAGCUAGUUGGCGGGGUAAAGGCCCACCAAGGCGACGAUUCGUAGCUGGUCUGAGAGGAUGAUCAGCCACACUGGAACUGAGACACGGUCCAGACUCCUACGGGAGGCAGCAGUGGGGAAUAUUGGACAAUGGGCGCAAGCCUGAUCCAGCCAUACCGCGUGGGUGAAGAAGGCCUUCGGGUUGUAAAGCCCUUUUGUUGGGAAAGAAAAGCAGCAGGUUAAUACCCCGCUGUUCUGACGGUACCCAAAGAAUAAACACCGGCUAACUUCGU
rnacentral:rRNA from 1 species